rnacentral:rRNA from 1 species
CCGAUUGAAUGAUUUAGUGAGGUCUUCGGACUGGCGCUCGGAGCGGCCGAAAGGUCGCGCCGGCGUGCCGGAAAGAUGACCAAACUUGAUCAUUUAGAGGAAGUAAAAGUCGUAACAAGGUUUCCGUAGGUGAACCUGCGGAAGGAUCAUUACCGACGGAAUCUCGUUGAAUCGAGAAUGCCGUUCCACAGUCCAAAACUGUGUCUCAUUCCUCCGUCUAGUCUGACGGAUGGAGUAUUCGAACUUACCUCUUCCUAGGGGUUCGGUUGUGGGGGUACCUGUUCCCUGCGGACUGGAGGUCCGCAGGGAGUGCCUCAACUUGAGGUGCCAGGUUCAAAGAGAGGCCACUUGAUCUGGCGUGUCCUCCGCCCUCCCGAGAACCCCUCGGAGCACGUAGCGUGGAGUUUGGGGCAGCGAAGGGCCCUCGACCGUUCCGUGUUUGUGAACUGUCGGCUCCGUGUGGCGUGUUAAAAUAAGCGUUUUUGAUUAUCCUUCGCACUCUUCUCCAAAGAGAAGGGUUGGUUUGUUCUUUCUAUUAAGAUAUUCCACCGUUGUUUAUAUGAUGGUGGAGAAAAAAAUCUUUGAAAGUAUAACUCUGAGCAGUGGAUCACUCGGCUCACGGGUCGAUGAAGAACGCAGCCAGCUGCGAGACUUGGUGUGAAUUGCAGGACACAUUGAGCACUGAUUUUUCGAACGCACAUUGCGGCCUCGGUUCCUACCCGGGGCCUCGCCUGUCUGAGGGUCGGAUGAGACUUACCGAAGGGGAAUCCUUCCCCCACUUGGUCGUACCGGGUUCUUCCCGCCGACCUAAGAGUGAGACCUCGUCUCCGAAUUUCGCCAUUUGAGUUCGGCGGUCGACGGCCGUGGAAUUCGCGAGUUCUCAAAAACGAACCGCCUGCUGCCAACGGCGUGUCGACUCUAAAUAAAGCGAAAGGAAAUACUGUCGACCUCAGAUCAGACGAGAUGACCCGCUGAAUUUAA